GCCCCAUUGGCGGAAUUGGUAGACGCGCUCGACUCAAAAUCGAGUUCCGCAAGGAGUGCUGGUUCGACCCCGGCAUGGGGCACCA
rnacentral:tRNA from 4 species